CCUACGGGAGGCAGCAGUGGGGAAUAUUGCGCAAUGGGCGAAAGCCUGACGCAGCGACGCCGCGUGCGGGAUGAAGGUCUUCGGAUCGUAAACCUCUGUUAGCAGGGAAGAAAGGUCACUGUGCUAAUCAGCAGUGAAUUGACGGUACCUGCAAAGGUAGCCCCGGCGAACUCCGUGCCAGCCGCCGCGGGAAUACGGAGGGUGCGAGCGUUAAUCGGAAUUACUGGGCGUAAAGCGCUCGUAGGCGGUAUGUCAAGUCAAGGGUGAAAUCCCCGCGCUCAACGUGGGAAGUGCCUUUGAGACUGUCAGACUAGAGAGUGUGAGAGGAUAGUGGAAUUCCAGGUGUAGGAGUGAAAUGCGUAGAGAUCUGACGGAACAUCAGUGGCGAAGGCGACUAUC
rnacentral:rRNA from 1 species